GUCAUGCUUGUCAGUCGAAGAGAUCGUGUUAUAUAUUGGGUAAAAUACAUUUUACUCUUAUGUGGUUUGAUGAUAUUUCAUAUAACCUUCCGUAAUUUCAAAAGAUAUAUAUAAUUUGUCCGUAAUUUUAGAACCCUGUUUAACAAUUCUGUCAUAAUGUUACAGGUUUCAACGAAGACUUCAGGUCGUCUCAUGAAUUUGCUACCUUUUUGGGCAAACAUUUAGAACCACAAUUAACAAUUCUGUCGUAAUGUUACAGGCGUGUCGACGAAGACUCAUCAAUUUGCAACCUUUUUGGGCAAACAUUUAGAACCAUGCUUAACAAUUCUGUCAUGAUGUUACAGGUUUCCACCAAGACUUCCAAGUCGUCUCGUCGAUUUGUCUCCUUUGCCACCAAACAAUUGGUUGAUGGUUUUCUACUAGUUUCCACGAAGACUUUCUACUAAACCGUCACUGGGCUUUUUAUCAAAGACCGAUACCAAAGAAACCCAAUGCUGCAUCUUCUAAGUACUACUUGAUAAUUAACGAUAGUCCUACUUUAUGUACUACUUGAUAAACCGUCACUGGGACUUCCUACUUGAUGUAUCAUUCCCUAUCUCAACAUCCAUUAAAAUACAAUAUUCCAUUUUAAUUUUUUUC
rnacentral:lncRNA from 1 species